CCAGAGUUCUAUAACCAGAAAUCCUUUAACCAGAGGUCUUUAACCAGAAAUUCUUUAACCAGAGGUCUAUAACCAGAAAUUCUUUAAAAAGAGGUCUUUAACCAGAAAUUCUUUAACCAGAGGUCUAUAACCAGAAAUUCUUUAACCAGAAAUCCUUUAACCAGAGUUCUAUAACCAGAAAUCCUUUAACCAGAGGUCUAUAACCAGAAAUCCUUUAACUAAAGGUCUAUAACCAGAAAUCCUUUAACUAAAGGUCUAUAACCAGAAAUCCUUUAACCGGAGCUCCAUAACCAAAAAAUCCUUUAACCGGAGACCUUUAACCAGAGUACUUGAACUUGAAGCCCAAUAGAAUACAUUUGUCUGUUUCUUGUAUGAUCAGCAGGUGGCAGGCUACACCAUGCAAAAGCCUGAUUGUACCUUGUUUUAAAAUAAUUGUUUCCCAUAAGCAUUACUGUAUCAUUUAAACAUAAAAAAAAUGUUGCAGAAAUCAUACAACAUAAUUAUUAAUUAUGACUGUCAUUACAUAAUAUGUAGAAAGGAAGAGUAUGAAAU
ensembl:lncRNA